AUACGUAGGGGGCAAGCGUUGUCCGGAAUUAUUGGGCGUAAAGGGCGCGUAGGCGGCAAUACAAGUCUGAUGUGAAAGUGCGGGGCUUAACCCCGUAAAGCAUUGGAAACUGUAUAGCUUGAGUGCAGGAGAGGAAAGUGGAAUUCCACGUGUAGCGGUGAAAUGCGUAGAUAUGUGGAGGAACACCAGUGGCGAAGGCGACUUUCUGGACUGCAACUGACGCUGAGGCGCGAAAGCGUGGGUAGCGAACAGGAUUAGACACCCUGGUAGUCCACGCCGUAAACGAUGAGUGCUAGGUGUAGAGGGUAUCGACCCCUUCUGUGCCGCAGUUAACACAAUAAGCACUCCGCCUGGGGACUACGGCCGCAAGGCUAAA
rnacentral:rRNA from 1 species